CCAGUUCCCGUACAAUCACCAAAGUUAAGCAACGUCAAGCCUGGUCAGUACCUAGAUGGGUGACUGCUUGGAAAUACCAGAUGCUGUAA